AGUGGUGAGCUGUGGGGGUCCCUCGUUAGUUACCAACUGGUGGGGCUAAACUAUGAACCCAUUUUUGUCAGCUUGUAGAGUCUAAGUCUAUCAUUGUCUGCAGUGAAACCAAUAUUCUACCAAGAGAUGGGUCACCUUGUAACAUUACUUGCUACUUUCCUACCUGGAAUUCUAUGGUCUGAAGUUUCCAAUCUGUGUGAGUCAUUCCCAAAGUGGUGAGCCAUUGUUAGCCCAAAAUUACGUCCGCACUUCCCAAUUUCAGGGGCAAAAAAUAAUCCCAAAUCUCUACCCCUUGGAAAGGCAUGCUUAAAUUUUUACAAACCCCCUCAUUCUUCAUUGAAUCUCCACUUCCCAUCGUCACUUCGUACUCGCUGGUCUUGGUGACAGGAAGGUAGUUUUUUCACAUUAACUUGAGAAAUAAAAUUAUGAGUAGCCCCGGAAUCGAUUAAAAUCGCCACCUCACAAGAGUCAAGUCGGCCCUUGAUUUUCAUGGUCUUGUUAGAGGUCAAACCAGCCACCAAAGGUAGGGACACUUCUACAGAAUUUCCAACUUCUGUGGAGUCUAACUCUGCUGCCUCUUCCGUUGUAUCUUUUGAACCUUGUUCUGAGAAUGCAUCAUCGAUUUCUGCAAGAAGCAUCAAGAUGUUCAUUUCUUUUUGUUUACAACGAUGUCUGGGAGACCAUUUAUCAUCACAUCGGAAAUAGGCCCUUCUUUCUUUUGUAUUGAAUCUGGUUUUCAGUCAAUCUUCUGACCUCUCCCAUCAGUUUGGUGUAGUUGGUAUUGGUUGGGGUGCUCCCUUGUAUGGCGCUUGAAAAUUUCACUGUGGUGCUAUGGAAACUGGAUGUUUUAUGUCGAAAUUGGGCAGCUGCCUUCAACUUUUCCACGAUGUCGUAUGCUACUUCCAUUGCCUCAUCCACAUUUUUGGGUCGUUGGACUCUCAAUUCCAUCCUUAUUGAAGGCAUUAAUCCAUUAAUGAAAGUACCCAACUAAACUUCCAGUGGUAUGUUGUCUAACAGAGCCAACAAUCUGAUAAAAUGUUUCUUGUAUUCCAGAAUCGUUCCUUUUUGUUUCACAACCAAUACUUUGUCAUACAAAGAACCCGUGUGGGUAUCACGAAAGUGGUGUAAAACUAAUCUUUUAAUUUCUUUCCAACUUAAAAUGGCUCGUUUCUUGUUCUCAUACGGGUACCACAAGAGUGCAUCUCCCGAAAAUGAGAUGAAGGCUGGUUCUAUUUUCUCCCCUUCAUCAUAGUUAUGCCACACAAAGUACCUCUCGACUUGCAUAACCCACCCAUCCGGGUUCUCUCCAUCAAAAGUAGGCUUCUUCAACUUGUUUAGUCGCUGCUCGUGACAGUAAGGGGCUCCUGAAUGGGUUCUCUCUGCCAGAGUCUCUCCCAUGUACCUGCUUCCCCUGGAGUCGUCUGUUGCUGCCACCAUUGCUUCUUUGCCGUUGUUAGCUGGGCUUGUCCUCAUGGGUUCCGGGUCUACUGGACUCUUUGCUACGCUUUCUUGAGGUUCUUGCUACUUUCUUGAUUUGUCUUGGGCUUCAAGGAAGAGCUGUAGCUAUUGUUGGGAUUGUUGUUGCAACUGCCGCCCCAUUUAUUGGAUAGAGUCUUUAACAACCGUCACUCCCACCUUCAAAGCUUCCAUUUCUUCUUCCAUGGAGGCAGAUAAUUCUCCCUUCUCCUCUACCUCUUUGAUCUUCUUUGGUCCCAUGUUUGCAGCUCACUGCACCAAAUUGAUAAGCUUUUCUUAGUAAUCAAUCCUCUCUGUACUUUUAUUAAGAUGAAAGAAAUCAAAUACAAUACACAAGCUUUUGAAAGACUUGUUCUCUCCUAUUCCAAAUGUUCAAGAGGUUUGGGCUUUCCACAAAAUUCAAUUGUCACUUUAUUUUCUGCCUAACCACUACUAACUCUAUAUAUAGACUAGACUAGUGACACAAUUUACAAUUAAAACUUAACACCUCAACCCAUUAAACAUAUGACACCUCAACACCUAGACAUGACAAAAUUUACAAUUUAAACUAGACACCUCAACCCAUUAAACAUGUAUAGACAUGACACAUGCACAAUUUAACUUUUUCUUUAUUCUAAAAUAUGUAAACCUGACUUGGGGCUUAUCAGUGAUGAAGUGUUUCAGUUUUGGACACUCUUCCUAGAAAUUAGUUUUCCAACGUAAAUCUUCGAUUUCUUAUUCUAUCUUGUUGAAUGGUGGUCCUCUUAACGACUUUAGACAGUCUCAGGGAUUGCAUUAAGGAAAUCCUUUAUUUCCCUAUCUAUUUAUCUUGGGGAGUGAAGUGUUUUCUCGAUUGCUGGCUAAGGCAGGAACUGAGAGGAAAAUCAUUGGGUACAAGUUGAGUAAAAGACGACUACUGGAUGGUCAGAGUAUUAGUCAUUUGCAGUUCUGUGAGCAUUGUGUUUUUGGGAAGCAGAAGAAAGUCAGAUUCUCUAAGCAUAAGAGUGAUGCACUGGCUACUUUCAAGCAAUGGAAGACCAUGAUCGAGAAGCAGACUGGAAGGCAAGUAACAUGUAUCAGCACUAAUAAUAGUUUGAAGUUUUGAACAGAUAAGUUUAAUACAAUUUGCAAGUUUGAAGGUAUUCUAAGACAUCUUACAGUCCCUCGUACACCACAGCAAAACAGUGCCGCAAAUUGAAUGAAUAGGACUUUGAUGGAGAAGGUUCAAUGCAUGCUUUCCAAUGUCAAUCAUCUACCAAAGUAUUUUUUGGUUGAAGCCACUUCUACACUCCUGCUAAUUACUAUGAAUUGACAAUUUUUGGAUAUCUUACUUAUGCACAUGUUAAUAAUGAAAAACUAUAACGUAGAUCUCAAAAACGUGUCUUCCUUGGUUUCAAAGAUGGUGUUAAAAGGAUAGCAGCGUUCUAGCUUGCAAGAUGAAUUACAGUUUGAUUCAGAAAUUGCUUCAGGAAGUUCUUCUUGGUCCAGUUGUCAAGUACAAAGUGAUGAUAUGUUUCCACCAAUUCAAGCAUAGCCACCACAUUCUAUAGCAAUAACUGAGCUAGAAGAAUUAUUAAGCUUCCACAGAGAUGUGCUGAGCAGAUUGGGUAGCUUAUGCUUUAAAUGUGGUAUUGAUUCCAGUGAAGAACCUUCUAUUUAUUCUGAGGCUGUUAGUUAUAAGGAUGCUAACAGUUGGAAAACAGCAAUGCAUGAGGAGAUAACAUCACUUCAAAAGACCAACACAUGAGAUUUCGUGCAUUUACCUAAGGGUAAGAAAAUUGUUCGUUGUAAAUGUGUGUUUGCAAGAAAAGAAGACACACUAGGAGUUGAAGAGCCCAGAUUCAAGGCAAUGCUAAAGGAUACAAUCAGAUUCCAGGUGUUGGUUACAAUGAUGUUUUUUGAUAAGGGAAUUUUGAGUUAUAUAUUUGUCAUCGUUUCUCACUUAGAUAAUGUUAAUUUCUAGUGUAUUUAUGUGUUCUUAGCUUUGUAUUAUGAGUCUUUGAUUUUUAGGCCAUAAAAUAUUUUAUGAGAGUUUAUUGAUGAAUUUUGUGGCUAGAUAUUGAAGGAAGACGACAUGACUCAAGAAAAUGAAGUUUAGGACAAGUUUGAAGUAUUUUAGAAGUCCUUAAACCCAAGGUUCAAGGUUAAAGUUGAAGAUUUUGAAGAAAAUCUACGGGUGCUAAAAAGGAGCAUUGGCCGCGACCUCCUAGGCAGAACCUAGCAGUCGUAGCCGCCAAGAACCACUGGCCGUGGCCAGUUCACGAUAUAUGGGCAAAAAGGCUUUAGCGGUCACGACUGGCGAUACAACCUUUCCUUAAUUUUUAAGAUUUAAAUGCACUUUUCAAAGGUCUAUAAAAAUGAUUAAGGUUAUGUAACAUCCCGUGUUUUGAACACCCGUUAGUAGCCGGUAAGAACCGGUGAAGAAUUAUGCGGAAUAUUAUUUUUAUAAAUGAUAUUAUAUGAA